GAAAUGCGAUAAGUAGUGUGAAUUGCAGAAUUCAGUGAAUCAUCGAAUCUUUGAACGCACAUUGCGCCCCUUGGUAUUCCAUGGGGCAUGCCUGUUCGAGCGUCAUUUGUACCCUCAAGCUCUGCUUGGUGUUGGGUGUUUGUCCCCGUCUCCGCGCGUGGACUCGCCCCAAAGUGGUUGGCAGCCGGCGUACUGGUCCCGGAGCGCAGCACAUGUCGCGCAAACGAGUGCCUUGGUACGGCGGCGUCCAUAAGCCCCUCUCUCACGCUCUUGACCUCGGAUCAGGUAGGGAUACCCGCUGAACUUAAGC
rnacentral:misc_RNA from 1 species